CUAAAUAUGUUUUUUAUUGUUGGUAUUUUAAAUAUUUUUUCUACAUUUAAAUCUAAUUCUUUUCCUUUUAUCUCGUCAAAUAUAUUAUUAUCAAAUAUUAUUUUCUGAUCUGUUCCUUCUUCAUUUAAAUAUUCUUCCUUUGUUAUUAUUUUUAUAUCUUCUUCAGUUAUUUGAUUCAUCUAAUUCACUAUCUAUUUCAUUUUUCGAAAUUUCAUAUAUACUAUCUUCACUUUCUA
rnacentral:lncRNA from 1 species